rnacentral:rRNA from 1 species
CGGGGNUGCAGCAGNCGCGAAAACUUGGCAAUGCGAGCAAUCGUGNCCAGGGAANNCCAAGUGCAUCGGGUAAGACCGAUGCUUUUCUUGACUCUUCAACGGUCUUGGAAUAAGGGGUGGGUAAGGACGGUGCCAGCCGCCGCGGUAAUACCGGCGCCUCAAGUGGUAGUCGCUUUUAUUGGGCCUAAAACGUCCGUAGCCGGUUUGGUACAUUCGUGGGUAAAUCAAGGCGCUCAACGUCUUGAAUUCUGCGAGCACGGCCAGACUUGGGACCGGGUGAGGUGUGGGGUACUCUCAGGGUAGGGGUAAAAUCCUGUCAUCCUGAGAGGACCACCUGUUGCGAAGGCGCCACACUAGAACGGAUCCGACGGUCAGGGACGAAGCCUAGGGGCACGAACCGGAUUAGAUACCCGGGUAGUCCUAGGUGUAAACGCUGUGGACUUGAUGUUGGGAGUGCUCCGAGCACCCUCAGUGUCGAAGCGAAGGUGAUAAGUCCACUGCCUGGGGAGUACGGUCGCAAGGCUGAAACUUAAAGGAAUUGGCGGGGGAGCACUGCAACCUGAGGAUUGUGCGGUUUAAUUGGAUUCAACGCCGGAAAACUCACCAUAGCCGACGGACAAAUGAAAGCCAGCGUACCGAGCUUGCUGGAUUGUUCGAGAGGUAGUGCAUGGCCGUCGUCAGUUCGUACCGCAAGGCGUUCUGUUAAGUCAGAUAACGAACGAGACCCUCAUCCCUAUUUGCCAAGGUCUGUCCGCAGAUCAAGGGACUAUAGGGAGACCGCUGGCGCGAAGUCAGAGGAAGGCGAGGGCAACGGUAGGUCAGUAUGCUCCGAAUGCUAUGGGCUACACGCGCAAUACAAAGGACGGGACAAUGGGCUGCAACUCCGAGAGGAAAGACGCUACCCCGAAACCCGUUCGUAGUUCGGAUUGAGGGCUGUAACUCGCCCUCAUGAAGCUGGAUUAGGUAGUAAUCGCGUCUCAAAAAGGCGCGGUGAAUAUGCCCCUGCUCCUUGCACACACCGCCCGUCAAACCAUCUUAGUUGUGGGUGGGUGAGGCUACCUCUCUGUGUGGUAUUCGAGCCUGCC